UUUCCCCAAAUCAAAAAUAUCCAGAACCCUAGCGAGAAGCGGCGGCGCAAGCAGGGGCGGCGCGCGAAGGCCAGCGCGCGGCGGCCCCGCGUGCCAGCGCGCGGCAGGGUGACGCAGCGGCCUUGUGGGCCAACUGCCGCGGGCCAGCGCGCGGCGGAGAGGGGCAGCGGUGUUGCGCGCGGGCAGGGAGGCGCGGCAGCGGUGUGCACGGGCAGGGAGGCGCGGCGGACCCGCGGCCAGCGCGCAGGAGGAUUCUCCAUCAUCUCAUCUCAUGCAUGCUAUUGCAAACUGCAGCAGUUCAUUGUUCAGAAAAGGAAUCCACUACUGUAUGUAUGGUUUCUUGGAGAAUGGUGUGUAUGUUGUCAUUAAGCCUUUGUUAGUCAUGAUCUCUCCCAGGUUUCAAAAUUCAUCAGGAGAAUUCAGAUUCAGAAUUAAGUUCCCUGGCUGGUGGGUAUGGUAAAUUGCAGUUAUAUCAAUUGAUCAAAGUUCAGAUCCAGAACUUUGACUUCUUGUUCCAGGGCUUUUGUUGGAUAUUAAUGUGUAAUGUUGAGUAUUGUGCUACUUUCUGAUAAUUUGUGAUGCUUGCACAUGUUAUAUGUGAUAUGUUGGAAAUAUCUAUUGAAAUUGUGUCGAAAUUAUUGCUGAAAUUUUAUCCAUGA